rnacentral:pre_miRNA from 1 species
UGUAACAGCAACUCCAUGUGGGACGGCUUCCUUCUUCCAGUGGGGGCGCUGUUACCUU